CCUUUGCUCCAGGACCGGAUGCGGAGCCGGGACUCAGGUGGAGGCAGGAGAAAUACGCACCCUGGGUGCACCUAUUCCUAUCAGGCGAAGGCCGCCUUUCCUGGCCUCCCCCACAGGCCCGCCAGCGAUUCGUCCUUACAAGGCUAGCCUCCACGGGCUGCCCUCUGUGUAAAUAAAGCCACAGACUUCCGCCCACAGGUCGCCGCAGGUCCCGCCCGCAGCGCCGGGCCGCGGGGGAGGCGGGAACUGGUGCUACGGCCGCUACGCAGGCCUCGGGAGGCUCGGAGCCCGCCACGCCCCAGCCCUCUCGCAGGGCCGGGGAGCCACGGGGCCAAAAGGAGGAGCAGGUGGAAGAAAUCCAGGCUCAGACCGUCGGAGUCCCCACCCAUGAGCACCCUUCUCCACUGAUCACUCAGAACAUGGUAGGCCCUAGAGAGACAGCAGCCCGAAUCUUCCCAGAAACCCUGCAGGAGAUUCCUUCUUCCCAUUUUAUAGAAGGGAGGCUGAGGCUCGGCACGUUGAAAUGGCUUGACCAAGGUCCCACAGGCAAAAAAAUGGUACAGCAAGAUAUUGUAACCCAAUAUCUGGCUGCAAAACCCAGUCUCUCCCCAACCCACCUAUCGUCACCGAGAUUGUAAAACUUCUAACCGGGAAGAAUCAAAUACAUGCACAACGGGUUACAGGUUAACAGACAGAUGGGAGCGGAAAGGGACAUUCCAGCGCUUCCCUGGGCGUGUCGCACAGGGCAACUCCAACCACAGGCGAAUUUUCCUGGGUGACAGUUAAACUCCUUUUUGCAUGAAAAAAUACAGAUUCUUAUUAAAACAAUAAUCGAUUAGACUAUAAAACUCUCAAAGUUAUUUCGGAUCAAAAUUAUUUUCGGCUGUUUCCACACCUUUUUUUCUCGAUUGUGCAGAAAUUCUUCACACCGUCUGCACAGAUGGGCAAACUGAGACCCGGACGAGUCCCAUUGAGAGAGAGAGGCAGAGCCGGGGUUGGGAGAAGACUGAGAUUUCUGGGAUCCGGCUUGGGGUGUUUCCGCUGGGUGGGGGCGCCGGUUUGCGAAGAGCUUUCCUCGGACAGCUACUGCUGAUUUUUGUCGCUCAGCCAGCCAAGUGGGGGCGAUUCUGAGUAAUCGCAGGCAAUCAGCGCGGCUGGGGUUAAAAGCGAAAGGGACUCGCGGGCGAACGGCCGGGGAGGGCGGCGGGCACAGAGCCCAGACGCCGGCAAAGGCGGGGCGCCGCCGGGGUUCCCUCGGUGCGAGCGCGCGCGGCACUUCCUGCUUUUGCUCCUCCCUGCGGUCCUGCCGGCCGUUGUAAACUGGCGCUGCGGGCCACACCCGUGUUCCAGGCCCGCUAACCCACCGGCGGCCCCAGAGCCCCAGGCGGCCCCAGAGACCCAGCCUCAAUCCUCAGUCCUCGUACAGUCCUCAGGUCCAAGUUCUGGCCAUAGGAACGCCAGCCAGAUCUGCAGCUCAGCUAGCUGAAUUUCAGGUUCCAGAGACCUGGCCCUUUUCUUCCAUGUAGGGGACAGUCAGGUUCUCUGGCCUGGGUUUUCUAAAAGUACCCAGAGUUGAACUACCUUCCACUCAGCAAUCCCAUUACUGGGUCUGUACCGAAAGAAAAAUAAGUGGUUCUUCCAGAAAGACACAUGAAUCCCUAUGUUCAUCGAAGUGCUAUUCACAAUAGCAAAAACUUGGAAUCAACCCAGGUGCUUGUCAAUGGUGGAUUGGAUAAAGAAAAUAUGGCUCAUACACACCACGGAACACUAUGCAGUCAUAAAAAGAAUGAAAUCGUGUCCUUUGCAGCAACAUGGAUGCAGGUGGAGGCCAUUAUCCUAAGUGAACUAAUCAGGAAAAGAAAAUCAAAUACCACAUAUCCUCACUUAUAAGCAGGAGCUAAACAAUGGGUACACAUGGACAUAAAGGUGGACAUGAUAGACACUGAGGACUACUAGAGUUAGUGGGAGAGGGAGCAGAGCAAGGGCUGGAAAAUUACCUCUUGGGUGCUAUGCUCACUAUCUGAGUGACAAGCUCAAUUAUACUAAAAACCUCAGCAUUAGGCAAUAUACCUUUGUAACAAACCUGCACAUGUACCCCCAAUUAUAAAAUAAAAGUUGGGA
rnacentral:lncRNA from 1 species